AUUGAACGCUGGCGGCAGGCUUAACACAUGCAAGUCGAGCGAGCGGCGGACGGGUGAGUAAUGUAUGGGAAACUGCCUGAUGGAGGGGGAUAACUACUGGAAACGGUAGCUAAUACCGCAUACCAUCAGAUGUGCCCAGAUGGGAUUAGCUAGUAGGUGGGGUAAUGGCUCACCUAGGCGACGAUCCCUAGCUGGUCUGAGAGGAUGACCAGCCAGAAUGGAACUGGGACACGGUCCAGACGCCUACGGGAUGCAGCAGGGGGGAAUAUUGCACAAUGGGCGCAAGCCUGAUGCAGCCAUGCCGCGUGUGUGAAGAAGGCCUUCGGGUUGUAAAGCACUUUCAGCGGGGAGGCGUUACUCGCAGAAGAAGCACCGGCUAACUCCGUGCCAGCAGCCGCGGUAAUUC
rnacentral:rRNA from 1 species